CUCUGUUCAGAACAGGGUUUUUCCCUCAGGGAGCCCCUCAGCCUGUUAGUCUCCAAGAAUUUUCUGGUCUCAGGAUGGACCUGGGCUCACCUGCUCGCCCUCCUCUCUCAGGCAGCCACCACCCACCCAGUCUCUCCUCAGGGUUCCCACCUCCCAAACCCAUCUGCAGAAUGGAACCAUUCUCCUCUCCCUAACCUGAUGCUCUGGGGGCCACAGGCCUCCUCUCUGAGAGCUUCACUGUGGGUCAGGCCUGGGAGGUGGAGGCCUGGGAGACAGUCCACAGGUUCAGGAAAGCCCCAGGCCCUGCGGUGUCAGUCCCCAGGCUGCAGGUCUCCCUCCCCCUCGAGUAUCUCUGGGGCUGCUGCCACUUGCUCCGGUGGCCCAAGAUGAGACCAGAAACGCCCCACUCUGCUGCCCACCACCCCAGAGCCCUUCUUCCCAGCCCUGGGCCUUUGUGGGUCCACAAGGGAGAACAGUAGAUGGAACUAAGGUAUUCAAGGGGCCCCUCUGAGGGAGGUUUUCUGGGGACCCCAGGCCUCAGGGUGACUCCAUAGCUUCACUCAGGACAACCUGUCCAGAUUUGAGGUGUUUCCUCAAAAGGGUCCAUUCAGUGGUCUCAGGAGGCUGCUCCACCCAUGGAGCGGAGGGAGCUCCUGCAGGUCCCCAUGGAGACACAUGUCCUAUGGCAUGCACACAAGGUGUCACGUGAAGUUUCCUCCACGAAGACUCAAGGGCUCCCAACACCAGAGCCUCAGACUGCAAGUAAACGUGGAACAUGGCUCCUGGCUUUGCUCUUCUCUCUGAAAAACCAGGGCCCAGCCUCCGUUCCCGGGGCGAGAGUGCCCUCUAGUGCCCGGGAGGGUGAAGGCCGAGGAGGAGGGCAGGGCCAGAGGCCAAGCCUGAAAGGAGGCCCUGCCAGCCAAUGAGGGGUGAGCCGGCCGCAGCUUGACUUGUGGAGCUGGGAUAGCAAGGGACCCACAGGUAUUUCCACAGGUAUUUCUAAGUGUGUGUGUGUGUGUGUGUGUGUGUGUAGCUAUGUUUCU
rnacentral:lncRNA from 1 species